CCGGCAAACGGGUGCGGAACACGUACACAACCUUCCUUCAAAUGGGGAAUAGCCCAGGGAAACUUGGAUUAAUACCCCGUAACAUUAUGGAGUGGCAUCACUUUAUAAUUAUAGCUACGGCGUUUGAAGAUGGGUGUGCGGCUGAUUAGGUAGUUGGCGGGGUAACGGCCCACCAAGCCUUCGAUCAGUAACUGGUGUGAGAGCACGACCAGUCACACGGGCACUGAGACACGGGCCCG
rnacentral:rRNA from 1 species